ensembl:lncRNA
CCGCCGUAUAGGGCAAAUGUGUUAGAGCUUGUAAUUAAAUGUGGGCUUGAAAAGAGGAAGCAAAUUUGGUACAGGACGUGCUUGAGAUGAUCAGAUGAGAGAAAGGAGAAGAACAGAGCACAAAUACACCGAGUUGUUUAUAUUACAAAGAAGAUCAAAAGCUUGUUAGACACAGGUUAUAAUGGAAGCAUAAAAGGGAUGAGAGGAACUUUACAUAACAUAGAAAUCCUGCAACAAUUGUAAAUUGCCCAAACACAGUGUUCAGACCGGAUAUGCGCUACCCGUUAAAGGGGGCGAAGAAAUCAGGCCUAAGUUUGAAAAAUGAAAUGGGUUAACUCGAUAGAGGAUGUUUCCAAAGGUAGAGAAAAUAAUGUAGGACCUUUUACCAGGAGAAAGCUAACUGUAUCUUUUACACUUUACAGUGUGCAUUGAGGGAAGUCAGGAAUAGUUUAAAUUAGGAUUGAAAAAAUUAAACUAGGUGAAAAGGGGGUGUAGCAAGUAGAUUUAGGGCAGUUCACAGCCUGGCGUAAACGCAAGGUGCCGUCACACAGCUUAAGUUAUUUGUUUGAUUUAUUUUAUGACAAAAUAAUAAGGAAACAUUGUUUAUCAGUAAUAUUGUUUACAGGGUUCAUAUUGCAUUGAAUAGGUUUGUCAUCACAUUCAUUCUAUUCACAGGUUUAGUUCAUUUUAUACACAUUGCAUAUCUGUGCUUGUUUAGAGUUGAUGUUCUAUCCAAGAGGGUUUUAAGCUUCACUGGUGAGAGUGUCCAGGUGAUACAUGUUGAGGGAAGAUGAGAACAUAGCAGGGUAAAGGUGGACCACAGGUUGCUUUGUUUCUGCUUAGCAACUACUGAGGUAAAUGGUGUUAAAGAUAAAUAUGCAAUAAGUGAACAAGAAAUGUGUGAGGGUGAGCCGGGUGAAACAAAAUGUUGUAGAUGAUGGAAACUUGUCUAACGGGCAUUAACAGUAACCUUUGCAUGUUAUGUAUAUGCUUGAAGCCAAAGGAGGCAUAAAUCCAGAUAGAAAACUUUGAAGUGUGCUUUUUUAGCGGAGAUUUAGGCUGACAGGGGAUGGUGUAUAUUUUACCCGGGGUGUGUUUAAUAAAAAAAAAAAAAAAAAAACUAAAAGCGUUGCUCACACACAUAAAGAGUAUUGAGAUUAAAUAAAGUUAAUAUAAUGGAUAGAGCCCAGAACAGGAAAAUACAUAAGUAAAAUCAAAUGUAAUGUUUGAUUUCACUUUUAUUGGGAAACAAUCAGGCUAGAAAUGUGAGUAACCUAUGUUUAAACUGUGAAAACACUCUCCACAUACAUUAAAACUGUGCAACUCUGAGUGGGCCAUGCAAUCAAGCAACUGUUACAUAUCUGUAUUAAACUAGCCAACAUAGACUCACCACCACAUGAUGUUGCCCUGCAGCGGGGCAGAAAAUCAUUUGCAAACCAGGGAUCUUAUGUUGAUUAUCAUAUUCUUACUUAUGUACACACACACACACAGAAGGGAAAAAUUUCAAAA